UGUAGUCAUGUCAGAUUCAGGGAUACAUUUCCAUUGUACUUACUGGCCUAAGUGGCUGGUACAGUAAACUUGCGGUCCAGGGGCUUCAUAUCUUCAUCUCUAGGUGCUGAGGACAAGCAAAAUUCUCCAGACACGU